rnacentral:rRNA from 1 species
GAUGAACGCUGGCGGCGUGCUUAACACAUGCAAGUCGAACGGAAAUAGAAUGAAAAAGCUGAUGCUUGCAUCAGCAUGGGAUUUCUAUUUUAGUGGCGGACGGGUGAGUAACGCGUGGAUAACCUGCCUUACACUGGGGGAUAACACUUAGAAAUAGGUGCUAAUACCGCAUAAGCGCACAGGACCGCAUGGUCUGGUGUGAAAAACUCCGGUGGUGUAAGAUGGAUCCGCGUCUGAUUAGCUAGUUGGUGAGGUAACGGCUCACCAAGGCGACGAUCAGUAGCCGGCCUGAGAGGGUGAACGGCCACAUUGGGACUGAGACACGGCCCAAACUCCUACGGGAGGCAGCAGUGGGGAAUAUUGCACAAUGGGCGAAAGCCUGAUGCAGCGACGCCGCGUGAGUGAAGAAGUAUUUCGGUAUGUAAAGCUCUAUCAGCAAGGAAGAAAAUGACGGUACUUGACUAAGAAGCCCCGGCUAACUACGUGCCAGCCGCCGCGGUAACAC